ensembl:lncRNA
UGAGCUUUAAGCUAGUUUUUUCACUCUCCUCUUUCACUUUCAUCAAGAGGAUCUUUAGUUCCUCUUCACUUUUGCCCAUAAGGGUGGUGUCAUCUGUUUAUCUGAGGUUAUUGAUAUUUCUCCCAGCAAUCUUGAUUCCAGAUUGUGCUUCAUCCAGCCCAACAUUUCACAUAGUACUCUGCAUAUAAGUUAAGUAAGCUGGAUGACAAUAUACAGCCUUGACGUACUUCUUUCCCAAUUUGGAACCCAUCUGUUGUUUCAUGUCCAUUUCUAACUGUUGCUUCUUGGCCUGCAUACAGAUUUCUCAGGAGGCAGGUAAGGUGGUCUGGUUUUCCCAUCUCUUUAAGAAUUUUCCAGUUUGUUGUGAUUGACACAGUCAAAUACUUAGGCAUAAUCAAUAAAGCAGAAGUAGAUGUUUCUCUGGAACUCUCUUGUUUUCUCUAUGAUGCAAUGGAUGUUGGCAAUUUGAUCUCCAGUUCCUUUGCCUUUUCUAAAUCCAGCUUGAACAUCUGAAAGUUCAUGGUUCACAAAGUGUUGAAGCCUAGCUUGGAGAAUUUUGAGCAUUACUUUGCUGGCAUGUGAGAUGAGUGCAAUAGAGCAGCAGAUUGAACAUUCUUUGGCAUUGCCCUUCUUCGGGAUGAAAAUUAAAACUGAACUUUUCCAUUCCUGUGGCCACUGCUGACUUUUCCAGACUUGCUGGCAUAUUGAGUGCAGCACUUUAACAACAUCAUCUUUUAGGAUUUGAAAUAGCUCAACUGGAAUCCCAUUACCUCUACUAGCUUUGUGAGAGAGUUAAACAUCAUUAAACAAUUAACUCAGCAAAUAUUUACUGCAUGUAUUAUGUGUUCAUGGCACUGUUCCAGGUUCACUGGGAAACUGAUAAUAAACAAGUAAGUACAUAGAAUGUCAGAUUAUGUAAGUUCCAUCAAGCAAAUUAAAGCAGUGGAUUGGUUGAUAGUGUUGGAGAAGGGUAGAAUUUGCUCCUUUAUAUCAAUAAAUCAGGGAAGAACUUGUGACAGAUCUGAUCAGAGACAAUUCUUAAUGUGGAAGCAAGUCAGAACAAUGUCCUAGGGAGAGGAUUCCAGACAGAGAAAACAGCCAGAGUGAGGUUUCCAAGUUUGGAGCACAUGUGGAAUUUGCCGGGAAUAGCAAGGACACCAGUGUGACUGAGAAUGAGAAUGAGAGAAAGAAGCAGAGGUGGCUGUAACAUCAGGCUCUGUCAGCCAUUGCAGAGUCUGGAUUUUAUUAUAGGCAUUACAUUCAUGAUCUGACUUGUUGUUGUUUAGUCCCUCAGUCAUAUCCAACUUUUUGCGACCCCAUAGACUGUAGCCCACCAGACCCCUUGGUCCAUGGAAUUCUCCAGGCAAGAGUACUGGAGUGGGUUGCCAUUUCCCCCUCCAGGAGAUCUUCCCAAUCCAAUGAUCAGACUUGGGUCUCUGCAUCUCCUGCAUUGGCGGGUGGAUUCUUCAUCACUAGCUCCACCUGGGAAGCCCAAUUUGACCCUUGACUACCUCUUAAACCUUGUCUUGACUUCUUGUCUUUGUACUCCCUACAUCUGUGUUGUCUAGUACAGUAACAUCUAUCACAUAGCUACUGAGAACUUGGAAUGUGGCCAGUUCAAAUGGACAGUAUGAAAAAAAAGUAAUGUAUCUCACUAAUUUUUAUCUUGUUUAAUAGACUGAAAUGAAAGUAUCUUGGAUAAAUAAAACAUUUUUGGUUAAAUAAAAUAAAACCCAUCUGUCUCUUUUCUUUUAAUUAACAUUUUUAUUUUGAAAUAAGUCUGCAGUUGUAAGAAGAAAUACAGAGGCAUCUUGUGUUCCCUUUAUUCACUUUUCCCCUAUGGUGUUAAAGUUUAAGGUGUGCAACACUUUCAUUUCAUACAUUUAUAUACUGCAGUAUGCUUUCCACCAUAGCAUUAGUUAACACUAGCCAAUGUGUUCCAUAAUUACCAUUUCAAUGUUUUGUGGGGAGAACAUUGAAGAUCUAGCUUCUUAGCAGCUUUGAAGUGUAUAAUACAGAGGUAGUUACUAUAAUCAUUCUGUUUUACACUUGGGGACACAGUCUAAGAGAUUAAAUUAAUGGUUCAAAGUUAGAGUGUUGAUAAUUAUGAAAGCGAGGAUAUGAUUCUGUGUAAUGUGAAGGUUCAAACCUUCACCAGUGAUGCAGCUGCCUCUUAUUUCAAUAAUUUAAGUUGGUCAUUUGAGUAAAUCAUGGAAAAGGUGAUGCUCCCUUUGUUUUAUUUUUCAACAUAUUUCAUUCACAUAUAGUCUGGUAAAACAAAAGCAGGUUCUCUUUCUUCUAUGCCUUUACAUUUAUUGUGUUCCCAUUGCUCUAUAAAUAAUAUUAAAAAAUAACAAUGCAUCCUUGCCCAACGUUACUAAAACUUCUAGCUUCUUGAUUUUAUAUUGCAGCCCAAAGACUUUGACAUCAUAAAUAUCUAUAUGUGGACAAUAUUGAAUUUUCAUCAUCAGCAGAUCUUCCCGACCCAGGGAUUGAAU